GCCGAAGUAGGAGGGUGGUGCUACCAUAACAGCACACAAGCCUUUAUACGGAGCCAGUGUUUUCUAUAUACAGGCUCCUUGAAAUACAUGUACCCCAUAUUUUACCAUUGAAUGAGACUACGUUUUGGUAAGAUUUAUCUGUGUUUGAGCGCUCCACUUAUAGGUGUAGGUCCUUGUCACUUACACCGCACCAAUAUCUACUAAAUUUAUUCAGUGGAAUAGAGGAUAUUUCCACACUAGUGUAUUGAGCUGCCUGUAAAUCACUUUUUGACUCUUUUGAGCACUUUUGUUAUACACACUCCUCUGUAAAAAGAGGCAACCUUUGAUUGGUAUUCAUACA